AAGAAGUUAGAGGCUCUAGGCUUUGUUUCCACAACCUCUUCUGCACUAGAAGAAGAUAGAGGGGUUUUCUUGUAAACUCACCUGGCAGAUCUGCCAAGCCACAGUAAAGGGCCAUUUGUAUAACACCAAGAUGGGCUCUCAUCUUGGUAAGGUAAGAAUCUCCCAACCUGGCUUGGAUACAAAACAGUGGGAUGGCAGUAACCAUACAGGGAUUCUACUGAAACAACCAGCCGCCAGCUCUCAUGAGGCCUCAGUGGUGCUCAGAGCAGGGGUGACCAGUCUGUCUUGUGCUCUUAUGAAACCAAGGAUGUAAGGCCUCCCAUGAGCAGUAAUCAUAAUAAUAUAUUGGCCAUGUUUAUUGAGGGCUGGCUAGUGUCAGGCACUGUUCUAAUCCCUUUAUGGGUAAUUAGCUCCUUGAAUCCUCACAACAAUCUAUGAAGUAGAGGCUUUUCUUAUGCCCACUUUAGAGAUGAGAAUACCAGAUCAUUGAGAAGUUAAGCAACUCUGCCCAAGGUCACCUAGCUAGGAAGUGAUGGAGCCAGGAUUCUAACUCAAAUAGUUUGGCUCCAGAGUCUACGCUCUUAACCUCUGGGCUUUGUUUUAAUUUAUUCCAGGCUCACAACCUGAACCCCAAGUUUAGACAACUGUGUAAAAAUGCACACAAAGAAGAACUAGGUGGGAAAUGGAAUGAAUGUGAGCUUGUCCUCAGCUUCUUAAAGCUAAGCAGGACCUUCGAGAGGAUCGAGGCCAGUGGCUCUCAAAGUGAAGCCCAUAGACCCUGGGGUGUCCCAGGACCUUUUCAGGGCAUCUGAGAGGUCAAAGCUUCUUUCAUGAUAGUACAAAGACCCUAUUUGUCUUACCCACUGUAAUGAAUUUGCAAAUUAAUGGUACACAAGCCUCAGUGGAUAAAACUGCUGGCACCUUAGCAAGAAUCAAAGUAGUGGCACCCAGCUGCCCUAGUGGCCACUGUAUUCUUUACCACCACACAGUAGCAGUUAAAAAGAGAAGAGCCAGUGUCCCUUAAGAAUGGCCUUAAUGAAUUAGUGAAAAGUAUUAAUUUUAUUAAAUUUUGACCCUUGAGUUAACAUGCUAGGGGACUAAAGCAUACCAGGUGCAUUCCUAGCACAAUGAUUCUGAGCAAAAGCACUUGAGCGAUUGUUGACUUGUAAGCCGAACCAGCCAAUUUGACGUCAUCGUACAACGUCAUUGUUUACAGCUGCAAACUGGCUUUUCAGACAUGGGUGUGUGGCAGACAUCUCAAAAAUAACUGAGCCUGUUACUUCAAGGAAAACAAUUGACAGUAUUUGUUGCCAAUGAUAAAAUUUGAGCUUUCAACUAAAAUUUUGAAGUUUGGAAAAAUGUACCUGCCCCAGUAAGCUUGACAGCUUCCCAUACUUAAAGACCUUUCCGAUAGCUUUCGGGUGAUAUUAGCAAAUGUGAUUUUUUUGAUGUUGUGGAUUUGAUGUUGUGUAAGGGGAUGUCUCAUCAACUGGAAGAUCUGCCUAAAUCAGUGAACCAAUGUCUUUCAAAUGAUGAACACGCGAUGGUAUAAAAUCACAUGUGAUAGUUAACAACUGAUUCAAAGUAUUAGAUAGACCGAUGGAUUUUGGUGGAUAAGGUCUAAAUUCCAUUGACAUCAUUUUAUAUUCCACAUUUAUUAGCAUUCUUCCUUUUGCAAUCCUAUAAAGCUGGAUUUUCUUCACAUAAUUCAGCAAAACAACAUAUCAUGACAAAUUGAACGCAGAAGCACAUAUAAGAAUUCAAAUCUUCCUAUUAAGCUAGACGUUAAAGAUAUUUGCAAACAUGUAUAAUAAUGCUACACUUCUCAAUAUUUUUUGGCUUUGAAAUAUAGUUACUUUUUCAAAAAUGCAAAAAUAAUAACAUGCAAUGUGUUUAUUACUUUUAUAUUUACCGACUUAAGUAAAUAUUUUCAUGUAUCUUUUUAAUGUAUAAUACAGUAACGAUAGAAUAACUCACAUAAAUAGAAGCUCCUUGGAGUCCUCAGAGGUUUUUAAGAGUCCUGAGAACAAAAAAUUUAAGCCUCUGAUCUAGUUCAGUAUUUACCACCCAUAUUCUAGAAGUUAAUAAGUUUUCUUUAAAAAAGGGGGGGGUUGUCUAUGGCCAAAAUAGGUUGAAAACUCUUGUGUUAAAAAACACAUGUGUAUAUGAUAUAUGUAAAAUACAUUAUAUAUAUAUGUAUGUUCACACACACUCAUACACAUACCUAACUAUAUAAGAGCGUUUCUUUACUGCACGACUUAAGAAUCAUGUUAUACACUAGUGAAAUCACAGUGCCCUAGAGGGGGGUGAUGGCAUUCAGAUUUCUCCAAAUUUACCUGACCUCCCAUUCUCAUUCAUGGGAUAGCUAUUAACAUCUUGAAGCAUCAGUUUUCCUUGGACUGGAUUUUGAGAAAUGUUGAUCCAGUACCUUCUCAUUUUGCACAGAAAACUGAGUCUCAGAGAAGUAAAGUGACUGGCCAUAACUUACGCUACUAUUUGGUGGCCGUGUAGAGAUUAGGACUCAGGUGUUCUGACUGCUAAUCUAGCAUUCUUUCAUUCCUUUGUAACCUUGGCGCCUCCCCAGGCCCCAUCUUCACUGGAAGGGAUUACAGCACAAACUUUAGUUUAUUUGUUGUGAGCCACACGGGAAGUCCAAACUUCAGUUUAUUUGCACCAACCAGUGCUUCUAAUCUGUUGCCUUUGAGAGAUAAUCCUACAAAAUGCAGCAGAAUGUAGAUUCCAAAACCUGCAGAGAUUACUUUUUAUGGGAGGGGGAUUAUCUCUGUAAUCCAAUUAACACAGCGAGCCAUGAGGGAAAAAAACACGUAGGCUUUAGAUUAGCGUUGGGGGAGGAGUGGAGAAAAGAAGUUAAUUCAUAUUAACAGGUUUGCAAACCUUUGAAGUGCAUUUACAUUUUCCUAAAUCCUAAUCAUAAAUCUGCAAGGUGAGCCAGUAGCUUUUGGAAAGAAUAUUACCACCAUGAAUCAAAUAGUUUUAAUGUUCAGAGUAUUUCUUUAUGAAUGCCCCUUUUGAGUUUCCUUUGAGAGCUUAGUACAUUUCUUCCUCCCAAAUGAUGAAUCUGUAAUUCACUACAUUUCCCUCUUCAUCUUGGCUGCCAGGAAGCUUUGAGUCAGGUUUCAGAGCAAUCCAGAUAACAAAAUCGUCAACAUAAUGCUACAGAUGGUCCCCGAAUUCCCUUUGUCUCAUGGGAUUGGGCAAAUAACCUUUCACCUCUCAGUGGGUCAUUUUUGCCAUCUCUUGGGUCACAGUGAAAUUACUGACCCCAACCAAAUUCUCUUACCAAUCUUCUCGGGUCUCCAGACAACUUUCUGCUAGUUUGUGUUUGCAGCUGCUGAGAAUUAAAGCAGUCAUCAGAUUGUUAUUCAGCCUUCCUUUUCAGUAUCUCCUAUGCUAAUAUGGUCAAUAAUUAUGCAGAGGGCAAUAAUAUUAAACCGCUUUUAUCCCCUGAAGGAAAUGCUUAUGUGCUCAAGAUAGCUUGCAUUUUCUGAGUAUGUUCCAAAAUCUCUGAAGAUUUUAUUCAUGCAAGGUAAGUUUGACCUUCAACCAAACUCAAAUCUAUAAUUUAAAGUGGCCUCUUUGACUCAAAAUCCUCUCCAUUUCAAUGCCAAAUGGAUCAUCAGCUGCUCUCCAAGUAAUAUUCGCUCCAAAGGAAGGUUCCUGCUACUGAUCAACGCACAUUUUUGCAUUUCCACUCACAGACUUAAGUUCUGCUCUCCAAUAUGUGACUGUAGCUUAAUUGACGGAGGAAUGCAAAAAGAGAUUUGCAGGCGUCUGACUACUGUCGACUCAUUGACUUCCCUCAGAGAAUUCUUUCACUUGUCUUUUAAAUUUUCCUUUCUUGUCAAAAUUGCAGGUGCAGAUAAAUGCUGGAAUCUUAUUUCAAUCAGAAAGUGCCAAGAACAAGAAAAGAUGGAGAAUUUUGAUUGUCAUUGAGGACAGAGCCUCAAACAGCUGGAGGCCUUCCAUUCUCUUUUAGCUUCCAUCCAUCUAAGAAAAAAAAAUGCACUAAGGAUUUCACUCAAUUUGUGCAGAAAGAUGAGGAAAUUCACACUAAAAUGAAGAACUGCAUUCCCAAAAUAGCAUUAACCUAGAACAGUGCUGCUGGGGGAAUUAGAAACCUUGAAUGUGGUGGGUGCCACCUCUGGUGAAAGGUCAGGGGAUGCCCUGGGAGGGAUUCCUGUGUGGCAUUAGCUGAUGAUGCACUGACUGGCUUUUCCUUUGAGGGAGCCUAGAGCCAGCUCAGGGAUUUUCACCUCAGCCAGUUCUUUCUCCAGACCAAACAAAUGUAUGUUUCAAUUUCUGAGGAAACCGGGAAAUGAUUAUGAGAAGGAAAAAAACAAAAUCAAUUAUGACUCAUUUGUCAUUCAGAGCCUCUCCCUGGGAUGGUCAAAUGAUUUGCCUCAGGGUCCACCCUGUGCCUGCUCAGAACCUUGCUGCAGCGUUUCCAUGCGGAUCUGAAGGAUUCUGGAAACAAGCCACCUCCCCACUAGUCUGGAUCCUGGUCCUCAGCAUCAGAGAUGGUGAUCAAGGGCUUAUGCAUCUCCAGCCUCUAGCCCAACUCCUGGUCCUCAAUAAUGAACUGAAAUGUAGCCCCUUGGUGAAUAUUUAAUCAUGCAUGAAAACAUAAGAAUCUGUCCCCAGGCCAGAUUUUUAUCCUUCCCCCUUUCUGGUCCUAAUCUCCCCCUCACUACCCCAGCCCCCAGCCUUAUCAUUUUCCCUCAGCUCUUUAACAGCUCAGACAUGCGCUGUCCAAUGCCAUAGCCACUAGCCACAUGUGACCAUGGAGCACUUGAAAUAUGGCUGGUCGCCGCAAAUAUCCUACGGGUAUAAAAUAUACACUGGAUUUCAAAGAGUACAGAAAAAAAUGUAAACUGUUUCAUCAACCAUUUAAUAUUGAUUACGUGUUGAUCAUAUUUUAGAUAUACUGGGUUAAAUAAAAUGUUAUUAAAAUUAAUGUCACUGGGUUUUGUUUUAUUUUUAAUGCAGCUUCUAGAAAAGUUAGAAUCAUCAGUGUGCAUCACAUGUUAUUCCUACUGGACAGCGCUGCCUCAGACCUUACCUGGCUCCUAUUCAGACUCAUCUACUGAGACCCCUUGACUUGACCAACCUAGUGUCAGUCCAGCCAGACCUGGGGUCCACCAACAGCUUCAGAAAGUCCCAGAAGCAAGUCUUUCUGGCUCAGGUCUACACCGCACACGCCGCUGGUCCCCGCGUGCUUUGCUGCCCUCUGCUGGCAAUCUCGGUGCCCGCAGCGUCACGGGGUGCCCGAGCCUCUCUCUCGGGCCGGCCUCUCCUGCUGCACACACCCCGUUCUGACAUCACCCCUCGGCUUCCCACUUCCUCAUCCUUAGCACCUUACUGUUUUCAAGAGCAGGAGUUGGAAGGAAAAGGGGGACUGCACUUUUUCAAAAGAACGAUGUGUUCUGGAGAAAGCAGUUUCUUUUUGAGAUCGCUGUGUAUUUCCUUCAAAAUAAAAAAGUAUCUUGUGUUGUUCCUCACACAUCACUCAGGACCAGUAUCUCCUGGGAUGCUUAUUAAACAUGCAGAUUACCAGACCUCUGUGCUGGAAAUUCUGGAUUAGGAGGUGAAAGUUGGAAGCCCAGGACUCUGUAACAAGCCUCCCUCCUGCCCCCACUCUGCCAGGUGAUUCUUGUUCCUGGGCAGGUUUAAGAAAUAUGGCUGCGGAGCAGAGCUUCUCAAACUAGAAGACGCUCACUGACCACCCAGGACCAGUCACAUGCAGAUUUUGACCCAGUAGGUCUGGACUGCAGUGAGAUCCCACAUUUGCAACAGGCUCCCUGGUGAUGCUGAUGCUGCUGGCCCAUGGACACGCUUGGAACAGCCCGCUUGGCAUGUAGAUACCAGAGUCCAACCCCCCAGGUGUGUCUUUGGUAGCACACCUGUUAUAAGAAUCAAUAUGCACUCUGCUGCUGUGUACCACUCGCUCCUAUCCAGGCUUCUCUAAACACAAGCUCGAGCUGUUCUUUCGUCUGGAAAAGCAAGGAUGCCCCCUUUUGACAGUUCAACAUAUUUUCUGUAAAAUGCCAGGAGAAAAACAGGGUCCUGGCCAUUUAAGCUGAAGAUAUGAUGGGGGUGACUCAGUGUUGCUCUUGAAGGCUCUACCCUCCAAAAGGUCGCCCCCUCAAGAUGAGCCACACAGAGGCAAUGUGACAUGGGAGUUAUGGUGGGCCUGAAGAGGCGUUUCUGCAUGAGAUUUGCAAGGCAGAAGUAAAGCCACAGCCAUUUUGAUUUUGAUGCUUACGAAGUAGAAGCAGCACGGAUGUGGUUCACACAUAUCAUUGUUUAUCUGUUGGCUCACCUCGUUGGCCUGCAACUGCUCCACCUUCCCCUGGCUUCUCCUUCAGCUUCUCCAAACUUGGAUCCAGGUGCGUGUUUAGCUCUUGAAGGGUACUAGCUUCUUUUGCAGCACACCCACACCAAGUAGAGGCAGUGAGAAUUGUUAGAGGUUCCAGUCCAUCCUCAUGGAUUCCAGCCCAUGCUCACGGGUCGCAGCUUGCUUUCUUCUCUUUUAUCUCCUCAACUGCCUAUCCUGCAGAUUUCAAGCUCUAGCAUCAAACACAGUGACAAUAGCCUUGCAAGGAUUUUUUAGCCAACUUCUGUGACUGCAUAAAUUAAAUCCCUUUAACCAGGCUGUGUGUGUGUGUGUACAUAUAUGCACAUAUAUACAUACACAAAUAUAAUAUAGGGGAUGUGGGACAUUGGGUGUGGUAGUUAAAUCUAGAGAAGAAUAGAAGUAGAGUGCCUAGAAAAGGGGAAGAAAUGUGUACCAUUUGUGCUUUUAAGGGGUGUACCAUGUGACUCUACGACAUAUUUAAAAAAUAGGCAUUUGAAAUGUUUAAAACUUCUUUAAUUAUCUGUCUCAUAUUUGCACUUGGGGGAUAUAGAAAUAUUUACCUUCCUUUCUAUUUCUUUAAAUAGGUUCAGUUUUGCUUUCUAUAUUUAUAAAAUUUUGCAUGUCACAGGGGACUUAACAUUAGGGGAAAGGGGAACUUAAAUGGUUUCUCACUCUAGAAUCAUCCCUACGCAAAAGAGAGCUAUUUUAGUUCUCAUAUGCCUUUUGAGUCUUGCUCUUUCUAACAUCCUCCCCCAAAGGACCCCAUUUGCGUGCGGGGUGCCUAAGACUGAGAGGACGACAAAGCACUUACAGUGCCCUUGGAGAACUAGAUCCUCUUAAGACCUGUGUGGAAUCAGCAUGGAUAAUCCCUUCUAGAACCAGCAUCAAGUACACCCUCCCCCAGGAAGCUCCUGUCCGAAUGGUUUGUUCAGUCCACCUCACAUCAACCACACUGCAUAUAGUGACAGUUCCUGGACUGUUCUUUGACUUGGGACUCUGGAAACAAUAGAAAGAAUCAGUUUAAAGAACCAAAAUAAGACAUGAUGAAUGUAAUAAUUGUUAAUAACUACAUAACUCUUUAUAAUUUUCAAUAUAUUUCUACUCAUUUCUCAAUUAUAUAAUAAGAGCGAAUAUUAAUUACUGUACAUCUUGCAUUGUGCAAAAAUCUCAGCGUACUCUGGUGGAUCCUGAGGAUACCAUCAUUAAUUCCAUUUUACAAAUGAGCACAUUAAGGCUGAAAGACUUUGAGAUUUACCCAUUACACCGAGAUAAGUAUCACAAUUAAGAUUUGAACUGACUCCACCUGACCCCAGGGCCCAUGCUCUUCACUAGUUGACAGUACUGUUUCUCACCAUAGCCCAGUGAAGGAAGAAGGUAAGGUUAUCAUUUCCACCACCACCACCACCAUCAUCAUCAUCAUCAUCUCUAUUUCAAGAAAACUAAGGACACAGAGGACAUCUUAUUCGCCAAGACCACAUAGAUAGGACAAAGUGGAAAUCAAAAUAAGAAUGGGAGCCCUCAUCAUGGCUCAGCCGUUAAUGGACCCAACUAAUAUCCAUGAGGAUGUGGAUUCGAUCUCUGGCCUUGCUCAGAGGGUUAAGUAUCUGGCCUUGCCACAAGCUGUGGUGUAG